rnacentral:tRNA from 1 species
GGGGUUGUGGCUCGGUGGUAGAGCACUUGCCUUGGAUGCAUGAGGACCUGGGUUCGGUCCCCAGCACCACA